rnacentral:rRNA from 1 species
ACCCAUAACUUGGGGAUAGCCCGAAGAAAUUCGGAUUAAUACCCAAUAAUAUUUUCUUGAGGCAUCUCUCGAAUCUUAAAACUCAGGUGGUUGUGGAUGGGCAUGCGUAGCAUUAGAUUGUUGGUGAGGUAACGGCUCACCAAGUUGUCUAUGAUGCUUAGGGGGUCUUAAAGGAUGGUCCCCCACACUGGUACUGAGACACGGACCAGACUCCUACGGGAGGCAGCAGUGAGGAAUAUUGGUCAAUGGAGGAAACUCUGAACCAGCCAUGCCGCGUGCAGGAUGACGGCCCUACGGGUUGUAAACUGCUUUUAUACGGGAAGAAACCUGAUUACGUGUAAUCAGCUGACGGUACCGUAAGAAUAAGGAUCGGCUAACUCCGUGCCAGCAGCCGCGGUAAUACGGAGGAUCCAAGCGUUAUCCGGAUUUAUUAGGUUUAAAGGGUGCGCAGGCGGAAAUGUAAGUCAGUGGUGAAAUCCUACAGCUUAACUGUAGAACUGCCAUUGAUACUGCGUUUCUAGAGUAUAGUUGAGGUAGGCGGAAUGUGUAGUGUAGCGGUGAAAUGCAUAGAUAUUACACAGAACACCAAUUGCGAAGGCAGCUUACUAAACUAUUACUGACGCUCAUGCACGAAAGCGUGGGGAGCGAACAGGAUUAGAUACCCUGGUAGUCCACGCCGUAAACGAUGAACACUCGUUGUCUGCAAUAUACUGUAGGCGACUGAGCGAAAGCAUUAAGUGUUCCACCUGGGGGAGUACGUUCGCAAGAAUGAAACUCAAAGGAAUUGACGGGGGGGCCCGCA